UAUUUUUUCGGGAGUGCGAAUAUUUUUAAAAUCGCGAUCGUUUUAUAGAAUUGUUAUAGUUGUAGAUGUUUAGAUAUUUUUUCGGGAGUGCGAAUAUUUUUAAAACCGCGAUCGUUUUAUAGAAUUAUUGUUAUAUUUAUAGAUGUUUAGAUAUUUUUUCGGGAGUGCGAAUAUUUUUAAAAUCGCGAUCGUUUAAUCUUUGUAGUAUCGUUUGUGAUAUUUCGCGUUGUGAAAAGAUUAAGAAAAUUUAUUUACAAGCUCAAAAUGAGAUUUCAGCUCCUAAAAAGAAGAAAAAGAUGAAAUUUCCACUUCUGCCUCCUACCAUCGUUCCGUCGAGGGAAUCCACAUAUUCGGUAUGUAAGGAGUUUCUAUAUGCUCAUCUGACUUUUGUGAUUCUGUGAAAACGUUUUGAAAUUGGAAAAACUCGAUAAACCGAUUAGAGGAAUCCGUCUUUCUUUUUUUUUUUGGCGCAUGAAUGAAAGCUUUUAAACUCAGACUACCUAGAGGAACAUGAAUUCAGACAUAUAUGUGCCGAUGGUGGCCAGCCACAUUCAGUAGGCUUUACUUUGCCUAAUAAUGCUAAGUGCUUCGUCAGCCGUUUGGUGCAGUGUUGCACGAGUUUUACUCUGAUACGAUGAUGAUGAUGCAGUCUAGUCUG